rnacentral:rRNA from 1 species
CCUACGGGGCGCAGCAGUGGGGAAUAUUGGACAAUGGGCGAAAGCCUGAUCCAGCCAUGCCGCGUGUGUGAAGAAGGCCUUCGGGUUGUAAAGCACUUUCAGUGGGGAAGAAAGCCUUGGGGCUAAUACCCUCGAGGAAGGACAUCACCCACAGAAGAAGCACCGGCUAACUCCGUGCCAGCAGCCGCGGUAAUACGGAGGGUGCGAGCGGUAAUCGGAAUUACUGGGCGUAAAGCGCGCGUAGGCGGUCUGAUAAGCCGGUUGUGAAAGCCCCGGGCUCAACCUGGGAACGACAUCCGGAACUGUCAGGCUAGAGUGCAGGAGAGGAAGGUAGAAUUCCCGGUGUAGCGGUGAAAUGCGUAGAGAUCGGGAGGAAUACCAGUGGCGAAGGCGGCCUUCUGGACUGACACUGACGCUGAGGUGCGAAAGCGUGGGUAGCAAACAGGAUUAGAUACCCCUGUAGUC